GACGAACGCUGGCGGCGUGCUUAACACAUGCAAGUCGAACGGAAAGGCCCCUUUGGGGGUACUCGAGUGGCGAACGGGUGAGUAACACGUGAGUAACCUGCCCUUGACUUCGGGAUAACUUCAGGAAACUGGGGCUAAUACCGGAUAGGAAUCCUUGCUGCAUGGUGGGGGUUGGAAAGCUUCGGCGGUUUUGGAUGGACUCGCGGCUUAUCAGCUUGUUGGUGGGGUAGUGGCUUACCAAGGCUUUGACGGGUAGCCGGCCUGAGAGGGCGACCGGCCACAUUGGGACUGAGAUACGGCCCAGACUCCUACGGGAGGCAGAAGUGGGGAAGAUUGCACCAUGGGCGGAAGCCUGAUGCAGCAACGCCGCGUGCGGGAUGACGGCCUUCGGGUUGAAAACCGCGUUCAGCAGGGGCGAAGCUUGUGGUGACGGUACCUGCAGAAGAAGCACCGGCUAACUACGUG
rnacentral:rRNA from 1 species